rnacentral:rRNA from 1 species
AAAAAAGGUAAGCUACUAAGAGCGAAUGGUGGAUGCCUUGACUGGUAAAGGCGAUGAAGGACGUACUAGACUGCGAUAAGCUACGGGGAGCUGUCAAGAAGCUUUGAUCCGUAGAUUUCCGAAUGGGGCAACCCAAUGUAUAGAGAUAUACAUUACCUAUAUAGGAGCGAACGAGGGGAAUUGAAACAUCUUAGUACCCUCAGGAAAAGAAAUCAAUAGAGAUUGCGUCAGUAGCGGCGAGCGAAAGCGCAAGAGGGCAAACCCAGUGCUUGCACUGGGGGUUGUAGGACUGCAAUGUGCAAGAGCUGAGUUUAGCAGAACAUUCUGGAAAGUAUAGCCAUAGAGGGUGAUAGUCCCGUAUGCGAAAAACAAAGCUUAGCUAGCAGUAUCCUGAGUAGGGCGGGACACGAGGAAUCCUGUCUGAAUCCGGGUCGACCACGAUCCAACCCUAAAUACUAAUACCAGAUCGAUAGUGCACAAGUACCGUGAGGGAAAGGUGAAAAGAACUGAGGUGAUCAGAGUGAAAUAGAACCUGAAACCAUUUGCUUACAAUCAUUCAGAGCACUAUGUAGCAAUACAGUGUGAUGGACUGCCUUUUGCAUAAUGAGCCUGCGAGUUGUGGUGUCUGGCAAGGUUAAGCAAACGCGAAGCCGUAGCGAAAGCGAGUCUGAAUAGGGCGCUUAGUCAGAUGCUGCAGACCCGAAACGAAGUGAUCUAUCCAUGAGCAAGUUGAAGCUAGUGUAAGAACUAGUGGAGGACUGAACCCAUAGGCGUUGAAAAGCCCCGGGAUGACUUGUGGAUAGGGGUGAAAGGCCAAUCAAACUUCGUGAUAGCUGGUUCUCUCCGAAAUAUAUUUAGGUAUAGCGUUGUGUCGUAAUAUAAGGGGGUAGAGCACUGAAUGGGCUAGGGCAUACACCAAUGUACCAAACCCUAUCAAACUCCGAAUACCUUAUAUGUAAUCACAGCAGUCAGGCGGCGAGUGAUAAAAUCCGUCGUCAAGAGGGAAACAACCCAGACUACCAGCUAAGGUCCCUAAAUCUUACUUAAGUGGAAAACGAUGUGAAGUUACUUAAACAACCAGGAGGUUGGCUUAGAAGCAGCCAUCCUUUAAAGAAAGCGUAAUAGCUCACUGGUCUAGUGAUUUUGCGCGGAAAAUAUAACGGGGCUAAAGUAAGUACCGAAGCUGUAGACUUGCACACAACUUAGAUUAUUUAAGUUUAGAAUAAGUAGUUUAAGUUGUGUGCAAGUGGUAGGAGAGCGUUCUAUUUGCGUCGAAGGUAUACCGGUAAGGAGUGCUGGAGCGAAUAGAAGUGAGCAUGCAGGCAUGAGUAGCGAUAAUUAAUGUGAGAAUCAUUAACGCCGUAAACCCAAGGUUUCCUACGCGAUGCUCGUCAUCGUAGGGUUAGUCGGGUCCUAAGUCGAGUCCGAAAGGGGUAGACGAUGGCAAAUUGGUUAAUAU